UCUCUGUGAUGAUCAACACUGAUUAGAUGUCCGAUCCAAUCCAUUCCAUUCAACCGUGGGGACAAAAAUGAGGCAAAUUUGUCUGAGAGAA
rfam:Triticum urartu cultivar G1812 contig1173463, whole genome shotgun sequence.